rnacentral:rRNA from 1 species
GAAUUCGCCCUUAGAGUUUGAUCCUGGCUCAGGACGAACGCUGGCGGCGCGCCUAACACAUGCAAGUCGAACGAGCGAGAGAGAGCUUGCUUUCUCGAGCGAGUGGCGAACGGGUGAGUAACGCGUGAGGAACCUGCCUCAAAGAGGGGGACAACAGUUGGAAACGACUGCUAAUACCGCAUAAGCCCACGGCUCGGCAUCGAGCAGAGGGAAAAGGAGCAAUCCGCUUUGAGAUGGCCUCGCGUCCGAUUAGCUAGUUGGUGAGGUAAUGGCCCACCAAGGCGACGAUCGGUAGCCGGACUGAGAGGUUGAACGGCCACAUUGGGACUGAGACACGGCCCAGACUCCUACGGGAGGCAGCAGUGGGGAAUAUUGCACAAUGGGGGAAACCCUGAUGCAGCGACGCCGCGUGGAGGAAGAAGGUCUUCGGAUUGUAAACUCCUGUUGUUGAGGAAGAUAAUGACGGUACUCAACAAGGAAGUGACGGCUAACUACGUGCCAGCAGCCGCGGUAAAACGUAGGUCACAAGCGUUGUCCGGAAUUACUGGGUGUAAAGGGAGCGCAGGCGGGAAGACAAGUUGGAAGUGAAAUCCAUGGGCUCAACCCAUGAACUGCUUUCAAAACUGUUUUUCUUGAGUAGUGCAGAGGUAGGCGGAAUUCCCGGUGUAGCGGUGGAAUGCGUAGAUAUCGGGAGGAACACCAGUGGCGAAGGCGGCCUACUGGGCACCAACUGACGCUGAGGCUCGAAAGUGUGGGUAGCAAACAGGAUUAGAUACCCUGGUAGUCCACACUGUAAACGAUGAUUACUAGGUGUUGGAGGAUUGACCCCUUCAGUGCCGCAGUUAACACAAUAAGUAAUCCACCUGGGGAGUACGACCGCAAGGUUGAAACUCAAAGGAAUUGACGGGGGCCCGCACAAGCAGUGGAGUAUGUGGUUUAAUUCGACGCAACGCGAAGAACCUUACCAAGUCUUGACAUCCUGCGACGGUUCUGGAAACAGAACUUUCCUUCGGGACGCAGAGACAGGUGGUGCAUGGUUGUCGUCAGCUCGUGUCGUGAGAUGUUGGGUUAAGUCCCGCAACGAGCGCAACCCUUAUGGUCAGUUACUACGCAAGAGGACUCUGGCCAGACUGCCGUUGACAAAACGGAGGAAGGUGGGGAUGACGUCAAAUCAUCAUGCCCUUUAUGACUUGGGCUACACACGUACUACAAUGGCGUUAAACAAAGAGAAGCAAGACCGCGAGGUGGAGCAAAACUCAGAAACAACGUCCCAGUUCGGACUGCAGGCUGCAACUCGCCUGCACGAAGUCGGAAUUGCUAGUAAUCGCAGAUCAGCAUGCUGCGGUGAAUACGUUCCCGGGCCUUGCACUCACCGCCCGUCA